UGCAUGUCUAAGUCCAAGCUGUGUUCACACGGCGAGACCGCGGACGGCUCAUUAAAUCAGUCGUGGUCCAAAUGGGCCAGUGCAAAUCCUACUUGGAUAACUGUGGUAAUUCCAGAGCUAAUACAUGCAACUGAUAUCCCGAAGGCGUGGCUGUGCUUGCUUGUCUUGCGCUUUCAUUGCUCUGACGGAUGCUUUUAUUAGACCAAGCCGCUGAGGACUUGGGGGUUCGCUCUCUUGUUCGACUCGUGUUAUGGUGACUCUGGAUAACCAAUUCUGACAAGCGCACGUACUUCUCUUCUGAGCGAGACGGCGCUGCCACUUUCGAGUGUCUGCCUUAUCAGCUAUCAACCGUUCGUUAUGCGCGACCGAUGGCUUUGACGGGUAACGGGGAAUCAGGGUUCGAUUCCGGAGAGGCAGCCUGAGAGACGGCUACCACGUCCAAGGACGGCAGCAGGCACGCAAAUUACCCAAUCCCAGCAAAUGGGGGAGGUAGUGACGAAAUCUAACGAUGCGGGCGCCCUUUCUGGGGCCCCGCAAUCGGAAUGGGCACUUUCUAAACAACCUGUUGAGAACCUACUGAAGGGCAAGUCUGGUGCCAGCAGCCGCGGUAAUUCCAGCUUCAGCAGCAUCUAUUAAAGUUGCUGCGGUUAAAAGGCUCGCAGUUGAAUGUCUGUAUCGAGCGCAGGUCAGGUGGACGUUGGGGCGUGGAAGUACGGGCUGUUGGAUGUUCGGAGGGCUUCGUGCUCGACGGCUCCUUCGGCUUUUCCACACACCCCCGUCCGUAACAAGCCUCCUCGCUCGGGUACAUAACGGGAAUCGGUCAAACGGAGUGUGGUCUUGCUUUUGGAGGUUAACGCUUUCAGGAGUGUGGCUACGUUAAGCUCCAUCGGUUUCACGGUCACCUUGAGUAAAUCAGAGUGCUCAAAGCAGUCGUAGGGGCCUUGCGCCCUGUGAACAGUCUUGACGGACUGACUUGGUUUUGCAUGGCAUGUCGGAAGACGACGUCGUGUGCUGGCUCAGAGGAUAAAUCAGUGGUACAAGCCAGCCUCGACGUAAUGAUUAAAAGGGACGGUCGAGGGCAUUGGUAUUGCGAGGCGAGAGGUGAAAUUCUGUGACCCCCGCAAGACCUCCUGAAGCGAAAGCGUCUGCCAAGGACGUUUUCAUUAAUCAUGAACGAAAGUUAGAGGAUCGAAGGCGAUCAGAUACCGCCCUAGUUCUAACCCUAAACGAUGCCAACCAUCAAUCCGCGCGUAGCACCCUUCUUAACGGGCUCGGCGGGCAGCUCCCCACUCACGGGAAACCAGAGCCUCUGGGUUCCGGGGGGAGUCUGGUUGCAAAGCUGAAACUUAAAGGAAUUGACGGAAAGGCACCACCAGGCGUGGAGCCUGCGGCUUAAUUUGACUCAACACGGGCCAUCUCACCAGGCCAGCACUCUUGUACGAUUGACAGAUUGAGAGCUCUUUCUCGAUUCAGUGGAUGGUGGUGCAUGGCCGUUCUUAGUUGGUGGAGUGAUCUGUCUGGUUAAUUCCGAUAACGAACGAGACUCUCCCCUGCUAACUAGUCGGUUGGAUCUUGAUCAGCGGGUUGCGUGCUGAGUAACUCUCGCUGCGUGUGAUGUGCGUUUCGUGCUUAACGGUGCGUUGCGUCUUGCGCGUAGUGUUGGAUGCCUUGGAUCACACUGCACCCCAAGUCCGCCGCUUAUGCUAUAACUCUUCUUAGAGGGAUUCACGGCACUGAAGCCGUAAGAGACUGAGAGCAAUAACAGGUCUGUGAUGCCCUUAGAUGCUCUGGGCCGCACGCGCGCUACAAUGCCGGGCACAGCAGGUGUUUCUCCUGCUCCGACAGGAGCGGGUAACCCUCUGAAAGCCAGUGUUCUUGCAAGUACUUCCUCCCUCGUGGAGUUGUACAAAGGCGUGCUUGGGCCUGGGACUUGCAAUUCUUUCCCACCAACGAGGAAUGCCUAGUAGCGGCGGGUCACUGAGCCCGCUGUGACUCAGUCCCUGCCCUUUGUACACACCGCCCGUCGCUACUACCGAUUGGGUGUACCAGUGAGAGCCUUGGACUGGCGUCCGUUGUUAUUCGCAAGAGUGACAAGCGGGUCCGACGGAAAGAGGUCCGAACUGGUGCACUUAGAGGAAGUAAAAGUCGUAACAAGGUUUCCGUAGGUGAACCUGCGGAAGGAUCAUUAAAAGGAUUAUUAAAACCCAAGCACUCUCCCUAUCGGGUUGUGGAUGAUGUAGUCCACACAAACACUUUUUGCUCACACUGACUAUGAGUUUGGUCAGCAGAGAAUGCUAUUGCGAACCAUCGUGGCACACACUUUUACACAGAGUUUUACACCGGAGGAUCACACAGCACGUGAUUGAUCUUGUGAUGGUAUAUACUCUUGUAUUCGUGCCGAUGUAAAAUAAACAAAGCUUAGUCUAAGUCGAUCGAAACUCAUCACUGGCCUAGUGCUGCGACCUUAAAAAGUCAAAGCCUUGGUACGGGUACUCGGUUCCAUGUGGAGCUGAGCCCUU
rnacentral:rRNA from 1 species